rnacentral:snRNA from 1 species
GGAUGUGAGGGCGAUCUGGCUGCGACAUCUGUCACCCCAUUGAUCGCCAGGGUUGAUUCGGCUGAUCUGGCUGGCUAGGCGGGUGUCCCCCUCCUCCCUCACCGAUCCAUGUGCGUCCCUCCCGAAGCUGCGCGCUCGGUCGAAGAGGACGACCUUCCCCCCCGAGGAGAGGACCGGUCUUCGGUCAAGGGUAUACGAGUAGCUGCGCUCCCCUGCUAGAACCUCCAAACAAGCUCUCAAAAAGAAGAUGGUUUCUAGUUAUAGGUUAAGUAAGAGAGGCAGCCUACAAACAAUUAAAUGGUGUUAGUACAGCAGUGU